GCGGACGGGUGAGUAACACGUGGGUAACCUACCUAUAAGACUGGAAUAACUCCGGGAAACCGGGGCUAAUGCCGGAUAACAUGUUGAACCGCAUGGUUCUACAGUGAAAGACGGUCUUGCUGUCACUUAUAGAUGGACCCGCGCCGUAUUAGCUAGUUGGUGGGGUAACGGCCUACCAAGGCGACGAUACGUAGCCGACCUGAGAGGGUGAUCGGCCACACUGGAACUGAGACACGGUCCAGACUCCUACGGGAGGCAGCAGUAGGGAAUCUUCCGCAAUGGGCGAAAGCCUGACGGAGCAACGCCGCGUGAGUGAUGAAGGUCUUCGGAUCGUAAAGCUCUGUUGUUAGGGAAGAACAAAUGUGUAAGUAACUGUGCACAUCUUGACGGUACCUAACCAGAAAGCCACGGCUAACUACGUGCCAGCAGCCGCGGUAAUACGUAGGUGGCAAGCGUUAUCCGGAAUUAUUGGGCGUAAAGCGCGCGUAGGCGGUUUUUUAAGUCUGAUGUGAAAGCCCACGGCUCAACCG
rnacentral:rRNA from 1 species